GAAUAGCCUCUGGAAACGGAGAGUAAUACCGUAUACGCCCUUUGGGGGAAAGAUUUAUCGGAGAAGGAUCGGCCCGCGUUAGAUUAGGUAGUUGGUGGGGUAACGGCCUACCAAGCCUACGAUCUAUAGCUGGUUUUAGAGGAUGAUCAGCAACACUGGGACUGAGACACGGCCCAGACUCCUACGGGAGGCAGCAGUGGGGAAUCUUAGACAAUGGGGGCAACCCUGAUCUAGCCAUGCCGCGUGAGUGAUGAAGGCCUUAGGGUCGUAAAGCUCUUUCGCCUGUGAUGAUAAUGACAGUAGCAGGUAAAGAAACCCCGGCUAACUCCGUGCCAGCAGCCGCGGUAAUACGGAGGGGGUUAGCGUUGUUCGGAAUUACUGGGCGUAAAGCGCGCGUAGGCGGAUUAGAAAGUUGGGGGUGAAAUCCCGGGGCUCAACCCCGGAACUGCCUCCAAAACUGCUAGUCUAGAGUUCGAGAGAGGUGAGUGGAAUUCCGAGUGUAGAGGUGAAAUUCGUAGAUAUUCGGAGGAACACCAGUGGCGAACGCGGCUCACUGGCUCGAUACUGACGCUGAAGUGCCAAGUGUGGGGAGCCACCGGAUCGAUCCCUUGUGUUCCCCCGUAAACAUAAUGCAGUCUCGGUAGUUUCUUUCGGGAC
rnacentral:rRNA from 1 species